GUGCAAUUAAUUUAUUUUUAUUAAAAAUAAUUAUAAAAUGGUUUGUUUUAGUAUUUUAUAAAGAAAAAAUAAUUUUUAUAAUAGUUUAUUAGUAUUGUAAAAUAAAAUUGAAAUAAUUUGAAAAAUUAAUAUUUUAAAAGAAAAUUUUACUUAUUGUACCUUGUGUAUCAGGGUUUAUUAAUUAAAAAAUAAUUAUGUUAUUUUUCUCGAUUUUAAAAGAGUUAAUAAAUUAUGUUAGUUUCUGUAGAAAAAUAAUUAAUAAUAAUUUAUUAGAAAUGAGAAAAGUUAAUCGUUUUUAAAGGGUAUCCUAGUUUUUUAAGAAAUGGAAUUUAAAUUCAGUUAUUUUAAAUAUAUUAAUUUAAUUAAAUUAAUUUAAUAUUUUAAAAUAAUAAUAUUUUAUGGGAUAAGCUUUAAAAUAAAUAAUUAAAAAUUAAUUAAAAUGAAUUAAUAAGUAUAUGCUUAGAAUUAGCAAUUAUUUAUAAAUAUGUUAUAGUUUAUUUUAUAAAAUUAAUUAUUUAAUUUAAUUUUAAUUAUUUAUUAAAAUAUUUAUUUUAAUUAUAAAAAUAAAGUAAUAAUGAUAAAAUUAGUAUAUAUUUUUGUAUGAAUAUAUAAAUUAUGUAAAAUUUAUAUAAAGAACUCGGCAAAUAUAGUGUUCGCCUGUUUAUCAAAAACAUGUCCUUUUGGUAUUUAUUUAAGGUCUAAUCUGCCCACUGAUAUUAAUUGAAGGGCCGCAGUAUUUUGACCGUGCAAAGGUAGCAUAAUCAUUAGUUUUUUAAUUGAAGGCUUGUAUGAAUGAUUGGACGAGAUGUUAGCUGUUUCAUAUAAAAUUAAUAGAAUUUUAUUUUUUAGUUAAAAAGCUAAAAUUUUAAUAAAAGACGAGAAGACCCUAUAGAUCUUAAUAAUUUAUAUAUUUUAUUUAUAUAGGAAUUUUUAAGUAUUAUAUUUAUAAUUAUUUUGUUGGGGUGACAAUAAAAUUUAAUAAACUUUUAUAUAAAUUUUACAUUAAUUAAUGAAUAAUUGAUCCAUUAUUAGUGAUUAAUAAGUUAAGUUACCUUAGGGAUAACAGCGUAAUUUUUUUAGAGAGUUCAUAUCGAUAAAAAAGAUUGCGACCUCGAUGUUGGAUUAAGAGAUAAAGUNGGGUGUAGAAGUUCAAAUAUUUAGGUCUGUUCGACCUUUAAUUUCUUACAUGAUCUGAGUUCAAACCGGCGUGAGCCAGGUUGGUUUCUAUCUUUAUUNGUUAUAUAAUAUUUUAGUACGAAAGGACCAAAUAUUAGAAAUAUUAAUUUUUAAAAUAAGAUUAUUAUUAA
rnacentral:rRNA from 1 species